rnacentral:other from 1 species
UCUCGUCCGUCGCGUUCGUGGAAGCCUUUAUUUCCUUGAACCGAUGCUCUUUGAGCUAGGGCAUGGAACAUCGCCAGGUAGGUGUGAUCGUCUCGCGUCAGAUGAACCCGAAGCCUCGCUGACCUCGCCCACCUGAAUCCCCUGGGUUCAGGAAUGCGGCGACCGGCUCGCGGCGGACCCUUA